CGCAAUUUCAACAAGUGCAAACGGUGGAUGCCUCGGCACCAAAAGACGAAGAAGGACGUUGCAGGGUGCGAUAAGCCUCGGGUAGGUCCCAAGCAACCUUUGACCCGGGGAUUUCCGAAUGGGGAAACCCACUCCGACUUGAUCGGAGUAUUAUAUACUGAAUUCAUAGGUAUAUAAAGAAGACCUAGCGAAGUGAAACAUCUCAGUAGCUAGAGGAAAAUAAAUCGAAGAGAUUCCCCCAGUAGUGGCGAGCGAAAAGGGAACAGCCUAAAUCAUAUAAAUGUUGUUAUCGUGACAUGUUGGUCUUCGGAUUAACUUUGAGCGGUAAUUUAAAGGGACAAACCGUUGUUUAUAUGAGGUUGUAAGAUGUAAGCGCCGACUUUUUGUCAAGUUAGGUGAUAUAUUAAUUCUUAGUGGAAUGUCUCUGGAAUGAGCAACCAUAGCAGGUGAUAGUCCUGUACGCGAAAAGAAUUAGUCAUUCAUGGCUUAUAUUCUUGAGUAGGGCGGAACUCGUGAAAUUCCGUCUGAAUCUGGGCCGACUAUGGUCUAAGGCUAAAUACUUUUGGUGAUCGAUAGUGAACAAGUACCGCGAGGGAAAGGUGAAAAGUAGCCCGGUGAGGGCGAUGAAAUAGUAUCUGAAACCGUUUGCUUACAAAGAGCCGGAGCCCGCAAGGGUGACGGUAUUCCUAUUGAAGAAUGAGCCUGCGAGUAUAUGUGUGUCGUUUGCUUAAGGGCCUAUGGUCCGAAGGCGUAGCGAAAGCGAGUCUUAACGGGCGUUUAUGGCACGUAUAUAACCCGAAACCGGGUGAGCUAUCCAUGGUCAGGAUGAGUCUUUUCGAAAGAAAAGAGGAGGUCCGAACUCACGCACCGUGCAACAUGCGGAGAUGAACUGUGGAUGGGAGAGAAAUUCUAAUCGAACUCGGUGAUAGCUGGUUUUCCUCGAAAUAGCUUUAGGGCUAGCCUUGUAUGAUCCCACUGGUGGUAGAGCACUGGAUGAGAAUUGGGUCCUUCGGGAUACCGUUUUCAAUCAAACUCCGAAUGCCAGUGAUUAUAAUACAGGAGUCAGACAGUGACGGCUAAGCGCCAUUGUCAAAAGGGAAACAGCCCAGAUCGCAAUCUAAGGUCCCUAAAUUCAUGUUAAGUGUCAAAGGUGGUGUUAAUUCUUAUACAACCAGGAGGUUUGCUUAGAAGCAGCAAUCCUUUAAAGAAAGCGUAACAGCUCACUGGUCAAGAGUUUUCGCGCCG
rnacentral:ncRNA from 1 species